rnacentral:rRNA from 1 species
AUUGAACGCUAGCGGGAUGCCUUACACAUGCAAGUCGAACGGAGGGGCCAACGGGUGAGUAAUGUAUAGGAACGUGACAAGUAGCGAGGGAUAACUACGCGAAAGCGUAGCUAAUACCGCAUACUAUUGGCGCGGCCGAUAUCGGAUUAGCUAGUUGGUGGGGUAACGGCUCACCAAGGCGACGAUCCGUAGCUGGUUUGAGAGGGCGACCAGCCACACUGGGACUGAGACACGGCCCAGACUCCUACGGGAGGCAGCAGUGGGGAAUUUUGGACAAUGGGGGAAACCCUGAUCCAGCCAUCCCGCGUGUGCGAUGAAGGCCUUCGGGUUGUAAAGCACUUUUGGCAGGGAGGCGGUACCUGCAGAAUAAGCACCGGCUAACUACGUGCCAGCAGCCGCGGUAAUAC